rnacentral:rRNA from 1 species
AGAGUUUGAUCCUGGCUCAGGAUGAACGCUGGCGGCGUGCCUAAUACAUGCAAGUCGAACGAGAGCACUUGUGCUCUAGUGGCGAACGGGUGAGUAACACGUAGGUAACCUGCCCUUAAGACGAGGAUAACCGUUGGAAACGAUGGCUAAGACUGGAUAGGAGCAUCUGAGGCAUCUUAGAUGUUUUAAAAGACCUAGCAAUAGGUAUGCUUAAGGAGGGACCUGCGGCGCAUUAGUUAGUUGGUGAGGUAGCGGCUCACCAAGACGAUGAUGCGUAGCCGGACUGAGAGGUUGAACGGCCACAUUGGGACUGAGAGACGGCCCAAACUCCUACGGGAGGCAGCAGUAGGGAAUUUUCGGCAAUGGGGGAAACCCUGACCGAGCAACGCCGCGUGAAUGACGAAGUACUUCGGUAUGUAAAGUUCUUUUAUUAGGGAAGAAUGGCUCGUGGAAAAACGAGAGUGACGGUACCUAAUGAAUAAGCCCCGGCUAACUAUGUGCCAGCAGCCGCGGUAAUACAUAGGGGGCAAGCGUUAUCCGGAAUUAUUGGGCGUAAAGGGUGCGUAGGUGGUAAGUUAAGUCUUUGGUGUAAGUGCAGUGCUCAACGCUGUGAUGCUAAAGAAACUGGCUAACUUGAGUGUGGUAGAGGCAAGUGGAAUUCCAUGUGUAGCGGUAAAAUGCGUAAAUAUAUGGAGGAACACCAGUGGCGAAGGCGGCUUGCUGGGCCACAACUGACACUGAGGCACGAAAGCGUGGGGAGCAAACAGGAUUAGAUACCCUGGUAGUCCACGCCGUAAACGAUGAGUACUAAGUGUAGGAGAAAUUCUGUGCUGUAGUUAACGCAAUAAGUACUCCGCCUGAGUAGUACGUGCGCAAGCAUGAAACUCAAAGGAAUUGACGGGACCCCGCACAAGCGGUGGAUCAUGUUGUUUAAUUCGAUGAUACGCGAAGAACCUUACCAGGUCUUGACAUCCCCUGCAAAGCUAUGGAGACAUAGUGGAGGUUAUCAGGGAGACAGGUGGUGCAUGGUUGUCGUCAGCUCGUGUCGUGAGAUGUUGGGUUAAGUCCCGCAACGAGCGCAACCCUUAUUGCUAGUUACCAUCAUUAAGUUGGGGACUCUAGCGAGACUGCCAGUGAUAAACUGGAGGAAGGUGGGGAUGACGUCAAAUCAUCAUGCCCCUUAUGACCUGGGC